rnacentral:rRNA from 1 species
AACGAACGCUGGCGGCAUGCCUAACACAUGCAAGUCGAACGAGACCUUCGGGUCUAGUGGCACACGGGUGCGUAACGCGUGGGAACCUGCCCUUAGGUUCGGAAUAACUCCCCGAAAGGGGUGCUAAUACCGGAUAAUGUCUUCGGACCAAAGAUUUAUCGCCUUUGGAUGGGCCCGCGUUGGAUUAGCUAGUUGGUAGGGUAAAAGCCUACCAAGGCGACGAUCCAUAGCUGGUCUGAGAGGAUGAUCAGCCACACUGGGACUGAGACACGGCCCAGACUCCUACGGGAGGCAGCAGUGGGGAAUAUUGGACAAUGGGCGAAAGCCUGAUCCAGCAAUGCCGCGUGAGUGAUGAAGGCCUUAGGGUUGUAAAGCUCUUUUACCCGGGAUGAUAAUGACAGUACCGGGAGAAUAAGCCCCGGCUAACUCCGUG